UUUUAAAUACUGUAUUGUUCUGCAGUUGUGAUGGCAAAAACUGAGUAUCUGAUAGGUGAAAACGAUUGGGAAAAAAGUUUCGAUCUUUCGGAACGUUGAAAACGUCGAUUUACAUGGUGACAUCUAGUGGCCAAAUAGUGUUCCAUGGACACCGUAUUAGACAAACGUAGUAUUUGUAAAAGUAUAAUCGAUAAACACUAAUUUCAUGUCAGUACAUUCAGCUGGACAACGGCGAGACAUCUCCAGCUACUGGUCCUCUUCAUCGUGAGCCAGAAAGGAAAAAUGGCAUCUGUGUGUCCUGUUCUGUUCCUGGUCCUCGCCGUUGGGUGGGCUGCCAUGCCAGUGAUGUCUGAGAUCGACGUUCAAGCCAAUGAGUCGCGAUAUCAGAAAUUCCUCAGGCAGCAUUUUGACCCAAAAAUGGCAGUAAAAAAAUGUGACAGUACAAUUAAAAGUAGGAAGAUCUAUGGCAAUGAGGACACUCACAGCU